rnacentral:misc_RNA from 1 species
UUUCCGUAGGUGAACCUGCGGAAGGAUCAUUCAUAAUAAAGUGUUUUAUGGCACUUUUUAAAAAUCCAUAUCCACCUGUGUGCAAUGUUAGAUCUCGUCAAUCUUGGCGAGAUUUUUAUACAUCAACGCAUUCUUUAACUAAUUUGUCUGAAAAAUAUUAUGAAUACUUAAUUCAAAAUACAACUUUCAACAACGGAUCUCUUGGCUCUC